AUGCUAUACCGGUAUUAAAGGGUAGUCGAAUACGGCCUUUACCAGCACUAGUAUUAAUUAACACUUCGACUAUCGAUUGCCUUCUAUUGUUUAUCGCGCGAAAAAGCCGCCGUUUUCUUAAUUUCCUCGUUUACGACCAAUUUAAUUUCUUUUGUUGUGGCUGCUUAAUGAGCCGCACAAUGGAGUCCGUGAAAAGCCACUCAAAGUGCUCUACGACCCUGCAGGAAGGUGUGAACACGGGGCAGACGGCUGUCAAGUUCAAGUUUGGCUGAGAAUUGUUUUGGGCAGAUUCGUAUCGGGCCACCACCGCCAGCCACAAGGCAGUAGCUUCGCAGCCGCAGCCCGCACCAUCAUCAUCAUCUACUGCUUGUGGAGGUUCUAUGUUGUUUUUAGUUUUCAAUUGCUCGCUUCACGCCAUGCAACGCUAACGGCCUUGCUAAACAAUAGAUUCAGCCGCCAGUCGCUGUCGUCGGUUGCUGCCUUCGCCGUCUGUGCCUCCUGCACUUUUGCCUCCGCCUCCACCUCCGCCUCUGCUACUGCCUGCUACCUGUGUAUCUCUGCCACUAUGCGGCUGCUACUUUUAUCAAUUGACAGGCGUCGGCGGCGUCACAAUAAGCAGCACAUGCACUCAACUGAGGGAACAGCAGCCCCGGCGAUGCAACAAUUAAAGGCGUGCGAGUAAAGAUGUGCGAAACCGAUGUGGGGAUGCUGAUGUAGAUGAUGAUGCGGCUGCUGAACGGCUCCCAUGACAUUGAGCGGCGCGCCGUGUGUGCCAGGCCCCGGGAACGACUACAAUGAGCAAUUUUUCGAAGCCAAGCGGUUGGAUGGAUGGUUGGAUGGAUGGCUCGCUCGCUCGAAUGCUUGUUAACAGCCACAAUGACAACGGCAGACAGAUGACGACGUUGCACGUCAACGCUCAAGUGCAUCCGUUAUAACUGUCAAUGGGCAUUAACUCUUGUGGCGCACUGUGUCGCCGCUCUCUGCUCUGCUGUUGUUUUCGGCAAUAGGUCCAGUGGACAAAGAUCUAAUCAAUUUUUGUCUGAACUCGACAGCGGCUGCGACCACCUUGAUGUUCAUGUCCCGAACCCGACAACAGCGACGACGACGACGUCGACGUCGACGACUUGAGGCCAAUUUACUUUACUUUUCAUUCAUGUUGUACUACGGCGGGUACUACGGCAGUGGGAAUAACCCAGAAGGAAAAGAAUAAGAGAAAAAACUCUGCAGUUGCAGUUGCAGUUGCAGUUUGCAGUUUGUGGCAAAGCGAAAGACUCUGGCAGCGAACUUGCGGCACUCACUCUUCUGGAAAAGCUCAAAACGAUAUGGAGGGAGAGAUUCUUUUCCACAGAAGUGGAACCUCAAACGAAAGACUGUGGCAACGAACUUGUCGGAGAACAUUUUCGGGAAAAGUCUAACAAGGAAAAGGAACGUUUUCUUGGGACUUGUGAAGGAUUAGCGAAUCUUGCAGUUCUUUAAACGUACGGAAGACAGGGAGUGUCACAGAAGUUCCACUGUUCUAAUCCACACCUUUUCCACGAUCGUAUUCGUUCAGCCAAGAAGUCAAAGAACUACAACAGCAUUUAGUUGAUGAUGGGACUUGAAGAGCUUGUGGAUUUCUUGCUGACGCACCGGCAUCAUCUCCAUCAUCAUCACCAUGAUCUCUGACGAAGAGGCACAUCAAUCAAAUGCCUCAUUGUACAUUGUUUUUACACAUUUCGACUACAAGGGCCGUCACUUGAACUUGACAUUUGGUGUAAGUGACUAUUAGGGGAAGUGCCAUGAGAAGGUUCUUCUUCUCGUUCCGAGUCCAGCCCAGAGUCAGAGUCAGAGUCAGUGUCGGAGUCAGAGCCAAGCCUUUGGCAAUUAGCCGUGAAUAUCAAUCAGCGCACCAUUUGAGUGGAAAAACCGCUCAGCUUUUAAUUACACAAAAAGCUCUUUGUGCUGUGCUGUGUGUGGGACUGAGAGUGGCUCGAAGGCCUCCCAUGUCCCCGCCCACGGUCACCACAACGCCUCUGCAACACACACCCGACUCAAUCUUGGAUGUCGAUGGCGAUGUGGCUCUGGCUGUCGAUGUUUGUUACCAAGUCGCUUGUUAGAAUCUCACUUUUUCUCUCUUUCUCAUACAUAUAUGCAAAGCGGGCUUGUUGUUGGUCUCGGUCUUAGCCCCGGCUUGCGGGUAAUAAGCCAAUUGGCGUUGGCCACACUGCUCGUACAUUUUAAUCAAGCCAACAGAGUUGUAAAGCCCACGCACCAUCCAAGCCAAAUAUGUUCCGAGGUGUCGCCAAAGCUGUGAGAUGGCGGCAGCUGUCGACCUUCGCGGCGUUGACUCAUGGCCUGUCCCUGUCCAUAACCGACAAACUAGCUAGAACCGGAGCUGAUGAAAUUGAGGAGGCUUUUUAAGAAUACUUGGGGCGGAAAACCCGAAAGGCAAUGACCAAAGAUCAUGCAGUGCUAAAACUAGAAUUUCUUGGCCAGAAUUUGGUUAAAAGUUUUGCUGAAUCUUCUAGGUUUCUAGUCGUCUUGAAUUGUCAUAAUAUUCUCCACGCUUCUUUAAUGCUUCUUGCUAAUACUUUUUUCAGCCGCCAUUCAGGCGGACGGACAAAUCAAACACCGAUAGUUCCUUCCAUUUUGAGGAAACCAGAAGUGACUGUCGAGCUUAAUUAACAGAAGUGCCUAGUCCGACAACGACUCGUACUUCUAUGGCUACUGUUGACUAUAUCACUUACUGCGGUGGCUGGCUGAGGCCUGAGGGGUGUCUGGCCACUGGCCACUGGGCACUGGGCACCGGCCACCGGUUGCCGGUUGCUGGUUGCCAAUUCGAUUAGGCCACGCAAAUGUAAUUUAAUAAAUGCGGUUGCCCAUGUUGAUUAGCAUGUGCGGUUUUAGCAAUUUACGAGUAGUGGCACGCAUCCGCGCAUCCACAGGAUAUGAGCUGGCACUACGACAAUGACAGGAUGCGUCAGUGCUCUUUGAAGUCAAGGCGAACUCCAAGCUGAACUCCGCACCGAACUCUCCACCGCUGGUCUGGAGACAGGGGAAAUGUUUAUGGUUAUGUGCUCGCCUGCGGUGGCAGCUUCAAACGCUUGGUGAUUGAAUUUUAAAUUGUGGCUGUACGUGCAGCAGGCUCCCCAUGCUCUCUGCUGUGGCAAGAUUAAUUUAAAUGAAGUUAUUAGCCAGCCCGAUUGUGCAUUGACAGGGCGCAAACAAAAGACCUAGGCUCCAGCUUCAGCUUCAGCGCCAGCGCCAGCCCCUGCUCCAGGUCCAACUCCUACUCCGACUGCAGCUUAAGGUGCCCUGAUAUGGGGAUAUGGGAUAUACAAUAUGCAUGUCUACAACGGGUUUUCGUCUGGCACAUUGUUGUACAAGUGCCCGCAGUAGUAGUUGUUGCUCUGCAUUUGAAAGUUAAAUUACGGUAGCGAUAUCGGAGCAGACAUUCCGUUAAUUGGCCGCACAACAGGCGGAGACCUGGCUGCGGCUAGUAGCUGUCGUUGGUCUUCAGGAAGAGAUGUUGGUGUUCUGGAUACUCUUUUUUUUUACAGGAAUUAAAGAAUUUUUGGAGUUUUGCUACCAGAGAUCUCUAGAGCGAGGGGCUAUAGGAGGAACAUUUUAGAAUCAAGCCUUAAGAUAUUCGGGGGACUAUUUUCUUAUGGGAUGUAUGGGAUGUUGCAAGAGGGAUGAAGAAGAGUAGGUUUUGUUGUACUACAGGGACUGUCUCUAACAAUUUUGUAAGAUUUUAGAACAUUUUUAGCAGUCGUUUUUGUACACCCAGCUUUUGUCGUUUUUUCAAAUAGGAGAAGAACUUUCCACGGAAGUUUGAAGUGGAUUUUAAUUCCUCCUUUUUGUGUUGAUUAUUCCGAUUAUUCGUACAUAUAGAAUCAAAGGUUUGGGUCAGAAAAAAUAUGCUCGAAACCGAGAAGUUUAUACAUUUGUGCUGUUUGUUGAUUAAUUUUUGGAACAAAUAGAACUGUGUACAUAUGUGCAUGUAUGGUAUUAAUUGUUAUAGAUUGAAACUGUAUUCCAUUUAGCUACUUUUUUGUGUAUCUUUUUGUAAGUGCAACCAAUCUUCGCUGUGCCCCAGCAGCAUUACCUUCUGUGUCUGUUUUUUUUUUUCUUAUUUUGGCUUUACAGUUGCUACGAAAAUUGUUGCAAAUUGCAGUUUAAAAAGUUUCCGUGUUGGUUGUUGCGCGGCACCAACGUUGUUGGUGGCGGCAGCGGCAGCGGCAGAGGCAGCGCCAGAGUCUGCGACUCGACGGCGACUGCAACUAAUAUGAGUCAUAAAUUUAAAGGCUUAACUCGAGAUGGAGGCUGUGCCGUUGACAGGGAUUUUUUAAAUGAAAUAAAUAAACGGCAUUACAGCUAGUUAUAUGCAGCGAGAUCAGGGUCUUGUGCGGCAUAAACCACGGCAACAACUACAGCAACAGCGACAUCUGUGCGACAGAGUGUUGGUGGCGGCACUCGAAUGUUGAACUGUAUCUGAAUCGGAACUCACUCGUAACUGGGCUGGGCCAAAGUCGUCUGGUUACUUUUGCAUUUGGUUGCAUGCUGCCCCGUCUCUGCAUGAGACGAAGCCAUUUUAUUGAUACAGAUACUCGUAGAGGCCAAAAUUUGGGGUCCACUAAAACCAAAGAGCCGCUUGAUGUCUGCUGUUUUUUUUGGCAGUUCCUUUGCCACGGACCCGCAGCAUGACAUCAUUUUGAGUUACUCCGAAUCCGAAGCCGAAUCCCAAUUCAGGUCUUUUGUGGCUGCAGCAGCCCUACACAGCGAAAAAACUGGUCGCCGUUUUACUUUCGCUUUUGUGUUGAUCUUUUGCUGACUUCGUUUCGGUUUCUGUGCUGCUGCUUUUUUGGCAGAGAUGUUUCGAUGGUCUCCAUUUUUCUGUUUUUGGGUCAUCCCAAAGAAGUAUCCGCGUAUAUGGCAAUGAAAACGAAACCGAGUUCUGGUGAAAGUAGGUUGGAAAACGCAUAACAAGUGCAAGUCAAAGGAGGACCACAUGGUCGGUGCCGUGGCACGCUGAGCGAUUGUGUCAUGGUUGGAGCCCACGCAUCGCAUCGCAUAGCAUCGCAUCGCCCACAAAGCCACAAAAGCCUCCACAGACUAAUGAUGUUAGACGCUUCGAAGACAGACAACAGGCACAGGUUGGCACUGACUUAGGCCUUAGCUUUUGCUUUAGAUUUGGUUUCGGUUUUGGGUUUCGUCUUCAAGUGAUUUGCUCAUCUGGUUCGGUGCCCACACAGUUUGACUCUUUUUGGCUAUGCGGCAGUCAGAAGAGAUCAAUGCGAAAUGCCUUUUGUGCGAAAAUUAAUUAGAAUUUUGUGGCUUUGGAUAUUAGCUGCUCCGAUGCUUUGGCUGCUCUGAUGCUCUGGCUGGGAAAAGACCUUGAGUGGCAGCUCCAAUCGAACCAAAGUUGCGGUUCAAGAGACUGUGUGGGAUGCAGAAACUAGUUGGGGAUCAGAGCAGCCAAAUGAGUCAGUGUCUCGGCAAACGCUUGGGUCAUCGUAGAUCGUAAUGGCUCUGAUGGAAUGGAGAGAGAAGCCUCGCAACAUGACUUACGAAUUACACAAAAAAGCUUAUAUCAAUCUUCAACCCGGUUGAAAGUAGCCAAAUCUCUUUCCCACGAGUUUCACUUGGCUAUAAAACUUCAGUUUUAUUUGCAUUCAAUAAAGGUUUCAUCGACUAAUGCCGCUUGUUGGCCAAGUCUUUGUUUCCUACUGCAAUAAAUCGCGAAAAGUCUCGAUAAGUUUACCAAGAGUGCUGUAGACUGAAACAAGUUUCUUUCUCAAGUCUUUCGAUCUUGCAAUUAAAAUCUCUCCCUCUUAUAGAGAUAUCUGCAAAAUGUGAAAGAUGUGUCGCCUUAUGCCGGGGCUCUUCUGGGGUUUGGAAGGAGAGUCGCCAGCGAAGCAUUCACUGGGUUUUUUGGGUCCCUUGGCUCAUUUAAUUGUGGCAAUUUCUUUCGCCCACGCAGCGAGUGAGUCAAGCGCUUUGGCUCAUAAUUUAUAGGCAUUAUUAUUGUAAUUUCUCCCAGACGCCGCGGCAGAUCGCACGCAAAACAAUCAGACAUACACGUAAAGUGAAAGUUUUGCACCUUUUGCCGCACAGCAAACAGCUAACAAACGCAUCGGCACUACCAGCUUGAAGAAAACAAAAGUAGUCAGGCAGUCAGUCAGUCAGUCGGUUUGAAAAAAUCAGUUAGCGAGUCAGUCAGUCAGUGCGAUCCCCCAAAGAUGAGCCACGAACUCCAACCAAAGUACUACCUACGACCAGACCAAAGACAAUGGCUUUCAAAUGACUGGCAGCCACUCGUGGCUUUGGCUCCAACCAAAACUGGCGCCGACUGACUGACAAAUGAGAGCUGCAGUAGUCGCCUUUUUCUGACCAAAAAAAAUACAAAUAACAAACCAAAACAAGACACAGCUAGAGCUCUCCUACUGGCAUCGGCACCAUCAAUAAGCCGUGAGCAAUUUUCGGCAAAAGCUGUGGGCAAAGAUUUCGACAAAUUUUCGCAUGCCAAACGUGCGUUUGCCUUGGCCACAAAAAUCACUCUCAAGAGUCAAACAAAUCCCCCAAAAAUCUAGACAAUACAAGAAGCACAACAAAAAACUGGCUUCGAAGCAUUGGAUACCCUUAAAGAUAUAGAUCUAUAUUUAAUGAUUCGUACGGAAACAGAUUAAAGUAAAGCUUCUUCAUAGUCGUAAGAUUAUCUUCAGAGAGAAAAAAACUUGCUUCUCGACAGAUAGGAAUAGAUACAUACUGAAGCUGAAGUUUCAGACAGAUGGCUGUAUAGACUGAAAUCAUAAUUAUAAUACCUCGCUAAUACCCUAGGUUUUUUCUGACCUCAGCUUUAGGGCCCAGCUUCAUUUUUGGUCACCUUCUGGGACACUUGUAGUGCCUUGACAAACUCUUUCUUUGGACAUUCGGACAAAAGUGUGUCAACCCAGCAUUUGAAGCAAUUAUUUGUCAUAUUUUCUAUUUGUGUUUGGGUUCCGUCUUCCACAAAUGAGAUGCAGAGAAAAUAAACAGCAUUAGUGGAGAGCUCAUGACCAAAAAUCCCAGUGACAAGGCGUCUUCGGGCCCGUUUCCAUCUGCGUAUUCAUCUUCUCCAAACUCUCGACUUUGGCUUGGGAUUUUGCACAAAUGAAAGUGAACGUUUCUUUUUGUUGUUUCCACUUUUUAUUUUGUUUUUGUUUUAACACUGCACUGGGGUGGAAAAAACGGAAAUUUGUCAUGUAAAUUUGUGUAUGCCAGCGUUAUUUGUGUCAGUGAUCUCAGGUCUUUUUCAGCUGGAAAAUGGUGUGGGAAUCUUGUGUCUACUUUGCAUUGAGUUGGCGGAGACUCACUCGAUUUCUUGUAAAAGUCUUUACACCUAUUAACUUGUUUUAUGUGGGUUUUUUUCGAAUAUUAGCUAUGGGUUUUUUUAUUGUGUAAUUAAUAAAUUUAAAAAAACUUUUCUUUACUUGUUUGCUUUGAAAUUGCAAUGCAUCAAAUGUUACAAGUACAGGAAAUAUUUAAUUGAAGUCUUCAAAUAUAUAAUUUUUUGCAUUUGUUUAAUUUAAUUUUUAUUCUCUCAAAAUGCAUUAAAUUUUAUUCGCACUUAUCCCCGACUAACUAGCAUCUCAAUCUCUCCUCUCUGCCUCGAUUUUAAUGAUACUAAAAAUGUUUUAUAUGCCACUUAAAAUUUGCACUUAGAAGUAUUCAAAAAAGUCGGGCUCACCAUUUUAUUCAUCAACUGGCGGCCAAAAUCAGUUCAUACUGCCAACAGCUGCCAAACGAAGAUCGACGCCAGCAAAAAGCGUUGGCUUUUUUCUUCUUUUGGCUUGGCUUUUGCUGCCGCAGCAGCUGCCAAAAGCGAUUUGCCGUCAAAAGAAACACACAGAUACACAGGCACACACUGGAUAUAUUUCUUAUUGCUGGGAUCGGGAUCUAACGAUAUUUCACGCUCUUCACGCUCUUCUUGGAACACUUUUGAUUGGUUUGCGCGCGCUUGGUUUUUUGGUAUUUGGAAUUUUCACAGGGUAAAAUUGAAACAAUUAACAGUCGACUGACGCAAACUUUCACUGCAAUUUCAAAUUCAAUAAAUAUUUGUUGCUUAGAUUAUGCGCUCAGGCAGGGGCAGCAGCGGCUGAAGCGGCUGCAGCUGGGUAUCCGCCAACACACAGGUAACACUGUCUCUGUGCAAACACACAGACUGGUACACUCGGUACACACUGUACACACACUUCGUAGGAGACCCGUUGGUAGAGAGAACCGCACCGCACGCGCGCUGAAAACGAACUGAAAUGUGAAAGAGCUUAAAGCCACAGCCGAUCUUCGUCGCGACUUCAAACUUGGCUUAAACUGCGCCUGUGUGUGUGUGUCUUGUGUGAGAGAGUGUUUUCUUUCCCAGUGUUUGUGUGUGUGUUGGCUGUUAGGCAACUUUGCUGCCCACACUCGGCCCAGACGCUCUCGGCCCGCUCUGCUGGUCCAUUUUUGGCCUGGACCGCUCGUCGGCAGCAGACCAGGCAAUAAUUUUUUUCCUCUUUUUUCUUUUUUGUUAUACCCGAGACGCCUUUGCACAAAUAUAAAAAAACCUAUACGAUUUGUGGCUAGCUUUUGAUAUUUUGUUGCUUGUUGGCUACCAGGUUUUCAGCUUGCUUUGACUUUUGAUUGACGUAAUUUUUGCGCUUGAUAUUCAGUUGAAUUUCUUGUAUUUCCACAUUUAACCGUUUUGGUGUCAGGCGCACAUUACACGCCCACCACACCCACACCCACACACAUGCAUAUUUAUAUAUUUAUAUACGCACACUAUACACUGACUAAUUGUGGGCGUGUGUCUGCCUCUUUCUUAAUGUUUUUUAAACAUUUUGUUUCCACAAGAGUUUUGUGAACUUUCGCUGUGGCGCGGCACGGAACUGCUUGGAUCGUGUGGGAGUGCAAACCUAUAUAUAGGGUGUAUAGCCAUUGACUCAUUCCAUUUGCAUGGCUGGCCUGCUUGCUGGUCUUCUGCUAAUUAGCCAGCUUAAACUUUGGUAUUUAAGAGUUUUCCCCACCGAAAACGAAAGACUUAGGCAACGAACCCGAUGACUGACCUUGCGGUGGGGGGCCUGGACUAUAUCAGAUCGCCGUAGAGUGCCCCAUUUAAAGGGUUCCUGGCCCUAUCGACACGCCAAUCUUUAUUGCAAUGAAGUAAUUUCCGCAUGUAAUGGGACAGGCAGCAGGAGUAGCACCAGCACCAGCCCCAGAAUAUCUCCCAUCUUACGGUAACCCUUUUUUUUUCGUUUUUGAGAACGCCCCGCCCCGUUUUGCACAUUAAUUUCUACGCCCCGCAAUUAUUUCAUGCAGCAAAUGAAGUAUGAAGCAACAUUAAGGCAAAACGUGUGCCACAUACCAAAAAUGGAGAUAAAAAAAAACCAAAAAAAUUAACAAGAAUAAUUAAAAAUGCAAGCUUGGGAAUGCCAAUGGAACCACAAAAAAAAACCCAAGAAAAGGAUGAGGCAUGAGGACCCCCUGGUAGAGCGGUUUUUGCAGAGGCAACAAUUGCGGGCGUAUUCGUUUUGGCCAACAGACGAGAGAGAGCCAAAACGCAAAGUGCGGUUAAACUUUUAUUUAAACAAACAUAAAAACCUGCCGUAAUUGCCUAACUGUUAACUGUUGCCUAACCGAUAGUCGAUAGGCACUAACAAAUGUUUUAAUUACCAAUUUUCUUCUUUGAAAGCCAAGUACAGUUUAUUUGGAGAACAUCUCAGAAAAUUGUGGGGAUUGCUUAAUGUCGAAAUAAAAUUUUAUGGCUGCAAUGGGUUAAGGGGCGUGAAAUACGUUUGGGAGCUUGGGAAUUGCAUCAAAAAGUAUAUCCAAAAGGAAUUUUCGAAGAAUAUACUAAUUUAGCUGCCUCUCACUUCAUUUGAUUCAAUCUAUCGCUAUAAAAGUGAGAUCCUGGCAAACUUCAAGACACAGCAGUGUUACCCUCUGCUUGAGAGUGCAUUCACAUCCAAAUCAAGCAAACUGCAACAGCUGCCACAGAGGCAAGCAACAAGUGCGGCUAAUUUCAUGCAACUCUUAUGUCUGGUCGGCCACAGGAGGGGCACAGACUGAGAGACGUCCCACACGCGUCGUCUACACUUGGCAUAUUUAACACAUUUAAUGAAAAAUCAACAAAACAUCAGUAUUUAUGAUGGGCCAGGCGAUUCGACUGGGACUUGGAGUUGGUCUAGGGACUGCCCCCAUUGUUGCCUCAGCAUCGAGGCGCCACAUUGCCAUCCGCUGGUCCGCCGGUCCGCUGCUCCGAUAGUUGUGGCUUUAUUAAGUUGCUGUUGUUGUGGCCGGGGCCCGGACCUGCCCAAAGUUGUCUGUUUUUAUUAAUAAGUCAUAUUUUUAUAUGGUUCAACCGAGAAGGCAGCCCCAGAAGCGGCAGCAAAGGUCCGAUAAUUUAUGUUGUUUGCUCGGGCUUCGAGGAGGAUGACAAAAGUUGCAGCCGGACCAAGGGCAACCAGCGGCAGCCAUCCAGCCAGCCAGCAAGCUAUGUGGGCUUAUUCAUAAGUCACUUACACACUCAUUCACUCACUCACUCGGGAGCACUCAUUCAUUCAUAAACAACCCAAGCAAAAGCUCAAAACUCGAAGCUCAUUUUGUGAUUAAUUAAAUGCAACUUUGCCUCGCUUUGUAUGCUCUUAAAGGGAGUAUUAUGAUUGUGACAAGACGUUUGCAAAGCAAAGGAGAUCGGUACAAGUUAAUCCAUAUCUCUAUACUUGAUUCUGUGGGACAUAAAGCACUCUUCCAUUUCUUUUUUCUGGCUAACACCUAAUCAUAGCAUAACUUUGAAAGAAAAGGAAAAAUUGCUCUCCAAGAGUAGCAAAGGCGUCGACUUUCCAUCAGCCUUCUUUUCGUGAUUUUUCUUGGUGCUAUUAUAAUUUUUGCUGUUGAAAAAGUGUGCCACUGCAGCAGAGAGACAGAGACAUGCAACAGGUUGCUGUGAUUGGGCGAAAGUUUGUUGCCCAAGCUUUAAGCCGUGGGAUGGUUGAUGGAUGCACUUUGCACCUGGCGAGCCAAAAAGCAACUCAAACGUGGCCGAUUGGCCUCCGGAUAAAGCCAGAAAAAACCCAAAAACUGUGUCAAAGUCCUACUAAUUUGCGGGUUCAUAGUCGUUUUCCAUUUUCGCGAAAAACAUUUGCAAAAAUAUAAUUGCAGAGUGGAAACAAAAAAUUGGCGAAAAUGUCAGAAAUAGUCCAAGCAUUACGCAAUCAUUUAAACAUCUAAUUUCGGUUUCAGUUUUCAGCACAGCACGAACAAAUUACAGGGCGUCAACGAAUUAAGCAAAUAGCAAUAGCCGUAGAGAAUUUUGCAAAUUUUUUGUAUCUUUAUUUUAUCAUGUGUUUUGCCGGCACAGUUUUCACUCUUUUCAAAUUUUAUUCAGCUGUUCAAAUGUUUGAACAUUGCACAAAUGCGAGUGGGAUAGUUCCGUGACCGGAUCGGGGGAACGUACAUACGU